AAGAUCCUGGUUGCUAUCAGCUCACUAAGAAAUCAACAACAAAAUAUCCAACUACAGUUGAACCCUCAACUGUGGUCUCUGAAACAGGGCCUGUUCAUAGUGGGUCUGCAUCAGAUACAGAAGAUGGAGGAGACAAUUGUUAUGUUAUAGGGAUAGUAUUUGCAGCUCUUGUUGUUUUUGCACAAUGAAAGUGAUUGCCGGAG